rnacentral:rRNA from 1 species
GACGAACGCUGGCGGCGUGCUUAACACAUGCAAGUCGAACGGAAAGGCCCCCACCUUGGUGGGGGUGCUCGAGUGGCGAACGGGUGAGUAACACGUGGGUGAUCUUCCCUGUACUUCGGGAUAAGCUUGGGAAACUGGGUCUAAUACCGGAUAGGACCAUGGUUUAGUGUCUCAUGGUGGAAAAAUUAUUGUUUUGGUGCAGGAUGAGCUCGCGGCCUAUCAGCUUGUUGGUGGGGUAAUGGCCUACCAAGGCGUCGACGGGUAGCCGGCCUGAGAUGGUGGACGGCCACAUUGGGACUGAGAUACGGCCCAGACUCCUACGGGAGGCAGCAGUGGGGAAUAUUGCACAAUGGGCGCAAGCCUGAUGCAGCGACGCCGCGUGGGGGAUGACGGCCUUCGGGUUGUAAACUCCUUUCGUUAGGGACGAAGCCACACCUUUUUUGGGUGUGGUGACGGUACCUUUGUUAAGAAGCACCGGCUAACUACGUG